CUUUUUGUAGAACGGGCCAACGAGUUACGUUAAGUAGCAAGGUUAAGCACUUAAGGUGCGGAGCCGUAGCGAAAGCGAGUUUUAACUGAGCGUUCAGUUACUUGACGUAGACCCGAAACCGGGCGACCUACCCAUGAGCAGGAUGAAGCGAAAGUAAAAUUUCGUGGAGGUCCGAACCCACGAGCGUUGAAAAGCUCGGGGAUGACUUGUGGGUAGCGGUGAAAUUCCAAUCGAGCCCGGAGAUAGCUGGUUCUCCCCGAAAUAGCUUUAGGGCUAGCCUCAAGGUGAGAGAUACGGAGGUAGAGCACUGAAUGUCCUAGGGGGUAUUGCACCUACCGAAGACUAUCAAACUCCGAAUGCCGUCAUCUUAUACUUGGGAGUCAGACUGUGGGUGAUAAGAUUCAUAGUCGAAAGGGCAACAGCCCAGAUCGUCAGCUAAGGUCCCUAAAUGUAAGUUAAGUGGUAAAGGAUGUGGGAUUGCACAGACAACCAGGAUGUUGGCUUAGAAGCAGCCACUCAUUCAAAGAGUGCGUAAUAGCUCACUGGUCGAGUGAUCCUGCGCCGAAGAUUUCCGGGGCUAAAACUUACUACCGAAGCUACGGCAUCAGUAAUGAUGGGUAGGGGAGCUUCCCAUACGGGUUGAAGCAUGACCGUAAGGACAUGUGGACAGUAUGGGAGUGAGAAUGUUGGCAUGAGUAGCGAGAUGUGGGUGAGAAUCCCACAGGCCGUAAACCCAAGGUUUCCAGGGGAAGGUUCGUCCGCCCUGGGUUAGUCGGGACCUAAGCUGAGGCCGAAAGGCGUAGGUGAUGGACAACAGGUUGAUAUUCCUGUACUACCGAUAACCGUUUGAGAGAAGGGAUGACACAGUAGGAUAAGCUAAGCACACUGUUGGUUAUGUGUGCCCAAGCAUUGAGGCAGUCAAAGUAGGCAAAUCCGCUUUGAUAAUGCUGGGAUGUGAUGGGGAGCGAAAUUUAGUAGCGAAGUAGCUGAUUUCACACUGUCAAGAAAAGUCUCUAUCGAGGUUAAAGGUACCCGUACCGCAAACCGACACAGGUGGGUGAGGAGAGUAUCCUAAGGCCAGCGAGAGAACUGUUGUUAAGGAACUCGGCAAAAUGACCCCGUAACUUAGGGAUAAGGGGUGCCACCAUCAGGUGGCCGCAGAGAAUAGGCCCAAGCGACUGUUUACCAAAAACAUAGGUUUCUGCUAAGUCGCAAGACGAUGUAUAGGAGCUGACGCCUGCCCGGUGCUGGAAGGUUAAGGGGAUCUGUUAGAGCAAUCGAAGCAGUGAACUUAAGCCCCAGUAAACGGCGGCCGUAACUAUAACGGUCCUAAGGUAGCGAAAUUCCUUGUCGGGUAAGUUCCGACCCGCACGAAAGGCGUAACGAUUUGGGCACUGUCUCAACAACAGACUCGGUGAAAUUGUAAUUCCGGUGAAGAUGCCGGAUACCUGCGACAGGACGGAAAGACCCCAUGGAGCUUUACUGUAGCUUGACAUUGGGUCUUGGUACUACAUGUACAGGAUAGGUGGGAGGCUUUGAAACCAGGACGCCAGUUUUGGCGGAGCCAUCCUUGGGAUACCACCCUUGUAGUACUGGGACUCUAACCAUAGGCCAUGAAUCUGGUCUUGGGACACUGUCAGGUGGGCAGUUUGACUGGGGCGGUCGCCUCCCAAAAGGUAACGGAGGCGCUCAAAGGUUCUCUCAGUACGGUCGGAAAUCGUACGUAGAGUGUAAAGGCAAAAGAGAGCUUGAUUGCAAGACAUACAGGUCGAGCAAGGAUGAAAAUCGGACUUAGUGAUCCGGUGGUUCUGCGUGGAAGGGCCAUCGCUCAACGGAUAAAAGCUACCCUGGGGAUAACAGGCUUAUCUCCCCCAAGAGUCCACAUCGACGGGGAGGUUUGGCACCUCGAUGUCGGCUCAUCACAUCCUGGGGCUGUAGUAGGUCCCAAGGGUUGGGCUGUUCGCCCAUUAAAGUGGUACGCGAGCUGGGUUCAGAACGUCGUGAGACAGUUCGGUCCCUAUCCGUCGCAGGCGUAGGAAAUUUGAGAAGACCUGUCCUUAGUACGAG
rnacentral:rRNA from 1 species